rnacentral:snRNA from 1 species
GCACUCGCUUCAGCAGCACAUGUACUACAACUGGGAUGAUACAGAGAAGAUUAACAUGGCCUCUGCACAAAGAUGCCAAGCAAAUUCAUGAAGCGUUCUGUAAUACA